rnacentral:rRNA from 1 species
GUACACUCCUGCGGGAGGCAGCAGUGGGGAAUCUUGCGCAAUGGGCGAAAGCCUGACGCAGCCAUGCCGCGUGAAUGAUGAAGGUCUUAGGAUUGUAAAAUUCUUUCACCGGGGACGAUAAUGACGGUACCCGGAGAAGAAGCCCCGGCUAACUUCGUGCCAGCAGCCGCGGUAAUACGAAGGGGGCUAGCGUUGCUCGGAAUUACUGGGCGUAAAGGGAGCGUAGGCGGACAUUUAAGUCAGGGGUGAAAUCCCGGGGCUCAACCUCGGAAUUGCCUUUGAUACUGGGUGUCUUGAGUAUGAGAGAGGUGUGUGGAACUCCGAGUGUAGAGGUGAAAUUCGUAGAUAUUCGGAAGAACACCAGUGGCGAAGGCGACACACUGGCUCAUUACUGACGCUGAGGCUCGAAAGCGUGGGGAGCAAACAGGAUUAGAAACCCCAGUAGUCCCAUGA